AUAUUACUAAGCGGAGGAAAAGAAACUAACAAGGAUUGCCCUAGUAACUGCGAGUGAACCGGCACAAGCCCAGUCUCGAAAUCGCUUCGGCGAAUUGUAGAGUGUAGACAUAAGUCUUAAGCAGAGUGUAGGCGUAACUUGGCUGGAAUGCCAGACCAGAGAAGGUGAUAGUCCUGUGCCGCCUGUGCGAAGCGAAAGACUGUGUUCCACGAGUCGGACAGUUUGGGAUUGCUGUCCUAAGUGGGAGGUAGACUUCUUCUAAGGCUAAAUACUGACGAGAGACCGAUAGCGCACAAGUA
rnacentral:rRNA from 1 species